rnacentral:rRNA from 1 species
UACGGGGGGGGCAAGCGUUGUUCGGAAUUACUGGGCGUAAAGGGCUCGUAGGCGGCCACCUAAGUCAGACGUGAAAUCCCUCGGCUUAACCGGGGAACUGCGUCUGAUACUGGAUGGCUUGAGAUUGGGAGAGGGAUGCGGAAUUCCAGGUGUAGCGGUGAAAUGCGUAGAUAUGGGGAGGAACACCGGUGGCGAAGGCGGCCAUCUGGACGGAUACUGACGCUGAGACGCGAAAGCGUGGGUAGCAAACAGG